rnacentral:lncRNA from 10 species
UCUGUUUCCUCUGUGGCACGGGCCACCCUUUCUGAACUUCCCUUUGCCACGUCCUACUACAGUGUGAGCUUAAUGAAAGCGGAGACUGCGUUUGUCCUGUCACCUGCUGGCUCACCAGCACCUAGACACAGUAGGUGCUCAAGAAAUAUGGUUGUGUGAAUGAGUGAACAAAGAGGUUAACAAGGGGCUGGGGAUGAUGCAUGCCUGUUUUUCAAACUGUGCUCCUAGGAGCUUUGGACGGGGAGAGCAAGCCCCAUGGCCCUGGAUCCCUCACACCAGCAGCUUGGGGUUCAUCUAAGUUACAUGCCGGCUUCCAGCUGCCCAAUUUCAAGGGUCUGAAGAAGUCCUACUUCUCCGCUUCAGAAGAAUAGUCGCACUGUACACCCACCACAGACAAGUGGAAUGAAACCAGAGGGAAGCAAAGGCACAGAAGGGCGAGGCUGUCUAGAUGGAGAGAGGAAAUCCACCGUGCGGGGACUGUCACUAAGUUUCAUUAAAACCGAAAUGAAGUCAUACAUUCAACCACGUAGACUGUUUUUUUUUCCUUUCCUACUGUUUUUGCCCAUCAGGCAGGCGUGGCCUCUUGUUGGCCAGAAACUCAAAGGUGGAAACUGACACUUAUUUAAC